CUACUGAUAAAGAGUCCAAAACUAGGACGAAACAACUGUCCAGUAC
rnacentral:hammerhead_ribozyme from 1 species